UCUCCGUAGGUGAACCUGCGGAGGGAUCAUUACAGAGUUCAUGCCCUCACGGGUAGAUCUCCCACCCUGUGUUAUUAUACUUUGUUGCUUUGGCAGGCCGCCCGCGUGGGCUACCGGCCCCAGCUGGUAAGUGCCUGCCAGAGGACCCCAAACUCUGAAUAUUUUAUUGUCUGAGUACUAUAUAAUAGUUUAAAACUUUCAACAACGGAUCUCUUGGUUCUG
rnacentral:misc_RNA from 1 species